rnacentral:RNase_P_RNA from 1 species
GAAGCUGACCAGACAGUCGCCGCUUCGUCGUCGUCCUCCUUCGGGGGGAGACGGGCGGAGGGGAGGAAAGUCCGGGCUCCAUAGGGCAAGGUGCCAGGUAACGCCUGGGGGGUGUCACAGCCCACGACCAGUGAAACAGAGAGAAAACCGCCGAUGGCCCGCGCAAGCGGGAUCAGGUAAGGGUGAAAGGGUGCGGUAAGAGCGCACCGCGCGGCUGGUAACAGUCCGCGGCACGGUAAACUCCACCCGGAGCAAGGCCAAAUAGGGGUUCAUAAGGUACGGCCCGUACUGAACCCGGGUAGGCUGCUUGAGCCAGUGAGCGAUUGCUGGCCUAGAUGAAUGACUGUCCACGACAGAACCCGGCUUAUCGGUCAGUUUCACCU